rnacentral:rRNA from 1 species
CUUCCGUAGGUGAACCUGCGGAAGGAUCAUUAAAGAGUAAGGGUGCUCAGCGCCCGACCUCCAACCCUUUGUUGUUAAAACUACCUUGUUGCUUUGGCGGGACCGCUCGGUCUCGAGCCGCUGGGGAUUCGUCCCAGGCGAGCGCCCGCCAGAGUUAAACCAAACUCUUGUUAUUAAACCGGUCGUCUGAGUUAAAAUUUUGAAUAAAUCAAAACUUUCAACAACGGAUCUCUUGGUUCUCGCAUCGAUGAAGAACGCAGCGAAAUGCGAUAAGUAAUGUGAAUUGCAGAAUUCAGUGAAUCAUCGAAUCUUUGAACGCACAUUGCGCCCCUUGGUAUUCCGAGGGGCAUGCCUGUUCGAGCGUCAUUACACCACUCAAGCUAUGCUUGGUAUUGGGUGCCGUCCUUAGUUGGGCGCGCCUUAAAGACCUCGGCGAGGCCUCACCGGCUUUAGGCGUAGUAGAAUUUAUUCGAACGUCUGUCAAAGGAGAGGACUUCUGCCGACUGAAACCUUUUAUUUUUCUAGGUUGACCUCGGAUCAGGUAGGGAUACCCGCUGAACUUAAGCAUAUCAAUAAGCGGAGGAA